UACGAAGGGGGGCUAGCGUUGCUCGGAAUCACUGGGCGUAAAGCGCACGUAGGCGGCUUCUUAAGUCAGGGGUGAAAUCCUGGAGCUCAACUCCAGAACUGCCUUUGAUACUGGGAGGCUCGAGUCCGGAAGAGGUGAGUGGAACUGCGAGUGUAGAGGUGAAAUUCGUAGAUAUUCGCAAGAACACCAGUGGCGAAGGCGGCUCACUGGUCCGGUACUGACGCUGAGGUGCGAAAGCGUGGGGAGCAAACAGGA
rnacentral:rRNA from 1 species